rnacentral:rRNA from 1 species
GACGAACGCUGGCGGCGUGCUUAACACAUGCAAGUCGAACGGGAUCCGGGCUUUCGGGUUUGGUGAGAGUGGCGAACGGGUGAGUAACACGUGAGUAACCUGCCCCCUUCUUUGGGAUAACGUCGGGAAAUCGGCGCUAAUACUGGAUAUUCUUGCUGCAUCGCAUGGUGUGGUUUGGAAAGGGUUUCUGGUGGGGGAUGGGCUCGCGGCCUAUCAGCUUGUUGGUGGGGUGAUGGCCUACCAAGGCUUGGACGGGUAGCCGGCCUGAGAGGGUGUCCGGCGACACUGAGACAGGGACACGACCCAGACUCCUGCGGGAGGCGGCGGUGGGGAAUAUUGCACAGUGGGCGCAAGCCUGAUGCAGCGACGCCGCGUGAGGGAUGACGGCCUUCGGGUUGUAAACCGCUUUCAGUAAGGAACAAGGAUCCUUUUUUUGGGGGGUUUGAGGGUACGUGCAGAAGAAGCGCCGGCUAACUACGUG